AAGUCGUAACAAGGUUUCCGUAGGUGAACCUGCGGAAGGAUCAUUAAUGAGUUAGGGUCUCCGGGCCCGACCUCCAACCCUUUGUCGUUACAAAACCACUUGUUGCUUUGGCGUGGACCGCCCGCAAGGGCUGCCGGUCUCAGGCCCGGCAUGCGCCCGCCAGAGGAAAAACCAAACUCUUGUCUAUCAAACCGCGAGUCUGAGUACAACCGAUUAAAUCAAUCAAAA
rnacentral:misc_RNA from 1 species